GACGAACGCUGGCGGCGUGCCUAAUACAUGCAAGUCGAGCGAAGUUUUUCUGGUGCUUGCACUAGAAAAACUUAGCGGCGAACGGGUGAGUAACACGUAAAGAACCUGCCUCACAGACUGGGACAACUAUUGGAAACGAUAGCUAAUACCGGAUAACAGCAUUAACUGCAUGGUUGAUGUUUAAAAGUUGGUUUUGCUAACACUAUGAGAUGGCUUUGCGGUGCAUUAGCUAGUUGGUGGGGUAAAGGCCUACCAAGGCGACGAUGCAUAGCCGACCUGAGAGGGUGAUCGGCCACACUGGGACUGAGACACGGCCCAGACUCCUACGGGAGGCAGCAGUAGGGAAUCUUCCGCAAUGGGCGAAAGCCUGACGGAGCAACGCCGCGUGAGUGAAGAAGGAUUUCGGUUCGUAAAGCUCUGUUGUUAGGGAAGAAUGAUUGUGUAGUAACUAUACACAGUAGAGACGGUACCUAACCAGAAAG
rnacentral:rRNA from 1 species